GAAUUAUCUUAUGUUUAGUAAGGUCUGAUGACCAUUUAAAAGCUUUGCCACAUUCUUCACAUUUGUAGGGUUUCUCUCCACUAUGAAUUCUCUCAUGUUUAGUAAGGUUUGAGGAACACUUAAAAGCUUUGCCACAUUCUUUACAUUUGUAUGGUUUCUCUCUAGUAUGAAAUAUACUGUGUGUAAUAGGGUAUGAGGACCAGUUAAAGGCUUUGCCACAUUCUUCACCUUUGUAGGAAUUCACUCUAAUAUAAAUUCCUUUAUGUUGAAUUAGAUGUACAAACUUGCAAAAUGAUUUGUCACGUUUUACAUUUAUAAGUGUUCUUUUUAGCAAGUCUUAUAUCUAUUCGAAUAUGAAAACAUAUAAAAGACCUUUACAUAUUUAUAACACAGAAAUGUUUUGCUCUCAGCCAUCAAACAUUUCUUAAGUUUGUAAUAAACUCUAUCGUGCAUUUUACAGUCAUCAAGUGGUACAUUUUCAUCUCCAGAGUUUCCACAUCUUCUCAGUAUCACUUUUUGAAAUGAUUCUUUCAUGCCCUGCUCUGGCCAUAGGUCUUUAGCAAAGUAAGAACACAUAACUGAAAAAAAUAAAAACAGCAAAUUAUUCCACUUGCUAGACUAAGAUUUUUAUAGUCAAUACAUCUAACCUCUAAAAUUACACAAACUACAUAAGCAAGAUGGCAUAGAAGAGUACCACAGGCCCUAGUUUCUUCAUAGACAUAUAAAUUUAACAAAAACAUACUGACCAAAUCACAUUUGUGGAAGAUUUAUAAAUAAGUGACUUGUGUUCAGUACCCCCGUGAGCACAAUACAAAGAGUUACAUAGAAAAAAACAUCUGUUACAUUUACCCAACAGAGACCUCAACAGAGCUCUUCCUGCUCCCCAAACAUAAUAUAGUGUCUUUAGAAGUAAACUGCCAACUUCUGCUUUUUCUUU